CGCUGGCGGAGGCCUAACACAUGCAAGUCGAGCGCGCCCUUCGGGGUGAGCGGCGGACGGGUUAGUAACGCGUGGGAAUAUGCCCAAAGGUACGGAAUAGCCUCUGGAAACGGAGAGUAAUACCGUAUGUGCCCUUCGGGGGAAAGAUUUAUCGCCUUUGGAUUAGCCCGCGUUAGAUUAGGUAGUUGGUGGGGUAAUGGCCUACCAAGCCUACGAUCUAAAGCUGGUUUUAGAGGAUGAUCAGCAACACUGGGACUGAGACACGGCCCAGACUCCUACGGGAGGCAGCAGUGGGGAAUCUUGGACAAUGGGCGCAAGCCUGAUCCAGCCAUGCCGCGUGAGUGAUGAAGGCCUUAGGGUCGUAAAGCUCUUUCGCCAGGGAUGAUAAUGACAGUACCUGGUAAAGAAACCCCGGCUAACUCCGUGCCGGCAGCCGCGGUAAUACGGAGGGGGUUAGCGUUGUUCGGAAUUACUGGGCGUAAAGCGCGCGCAGGCGGAUCGGAAAGUUGGGGGUGAAAUCCCGGGGCUCAACCCCGGAACUGCCUCCAAAACUAUCGGUCUA
rnacentral:rRNA from 1 species